UGGGGAAUUUUGCGCAAUGGGGGAAACCCUGACGCAGCAACGCCGCGUGGAGGAUGAAGUCCCUUGGGACGUAAACUCCUUUCGACCGGGAAGAUUAUGACGGUACCGGAAGAAGAAGCCCCGGCUAACUUCGUGCCAGCAGCCGCGGUAAUACGAGGGGGGCAAGCGUUGUUCGGAAUUAUUGGGCGUAAAGGGUGCGUAGGCGGUUCGGUAAGUCUUAUGUGAAAUCUUCGGGCUCAACUCGAAGUCUGCAUGAGAAACUGCCGGGCUUGAGUGUGGGAGAGGUGAGUGGAAUUUCCGGUGUAGCGGUGAAAUGCGUAGAUAUCGGAAGGAACACCUGUGGCGAAAGCGGCUCACUGGACCAUAACUGACGCUGAUGCACGAAAGCUAGGGGAGCAAACAGGAUUAGAUACCCCCGUAGUCC
rnacentral:rRNA from 1 species